rnacentral:misc_RNA from 1 species
GUGUACCAUUAUCUGGUGUGUACACUUCACACGUGUAGUUUACAUGUAUGUGAAAGUCUUUGUAUUUUGUUGCUCUGUUAUGCUGAAAAAUGAUGGAAAGUCAUUCCUAUACCAAAUUCAUUAGACCCUAAAAAUACUCUGAAUACAUGUUGGGUCUUUUUUUAACUGCAUUCACUGCUUAUGAAAAUUGCUUUCUAAGAAAGAUUAUACAAAUAGCUCCGGGUGAGAGUCAAACUUGGUUGGACAUUCCCAGUUGUGUAUUUUUGAUAUAUAAUGCUUUAGUGCUCCUCAAUCUUGUCAUUAUCUGUUGGCAGCAAUACAUAUUAUUUAAUACAUGUAGCAGAAUGAUAUUGUAUACAAUCAAUUCUAAAGUGCAUGUGGUAUACAUUUUUAUUUGACUUUUCUACCUAACUUAAGAAUUAAGGAUGAAUUUAAAAUGAAAUUAAUGAAUAAAAUUAGGGCAACAAAGUAAACAAAUCAUCUAAUAAUGUCUUAUACAGUAUUAUUUGAAUAAUAGUUAAGAUUCUACUUAUCGAACGUUUCUUUUUGACAUAAAAAGCUGAACUAUAAAUGGAAAGAAGUGUUCUCAAUAUAUCAUGUGCCAAUUGUAACAUGUGUCAUAUUGAAAAAAAAAAUAAUCAACUAUGAAUUAUCUGUAAAUUUGAUUCUAUUUGUUCAAAGAAAUGUUUUAGUUGGAAAGAAGGGCAGAAUGAAGUAUUAUUUUGAAUUUAUUGUUUUAUGACAUUCCAAAAAAGUGUAAAAUGCUGUACACUUAUAUGUACUGUUUUGGUUAGAUUGUGAAUAAAAAAAAAAUCUGUG